ACAAAACAAUUCCUGGUCCCAUGACAAGGGAACUACCUUAAAAAUAAACUAACGUGCAGCUGCGAAACAGAUCUGCUUUAUAGGUGACUGCGCAGACACCUAAACUUUAAGUUUCUGAUCGGGUGAAUUUUGUAACGUAUGUAUUUUUAUUUGCUUUUAUAAGAAACUGCAAAUAGGGUCAGACCACAGCAUAGGGAUGUGGUGGUCAAUUCUCUAGUAGUUUGAAAAUUUCUGAAUGCAGGAUAAAUGUGUGUAUUCUGUGGGUUAGUUUCUCACAUACACGCACAAAAUCAAAAAUUUACUUAUAAUUUUUACUUACAGCAGUGGAGAACGUUAGAAUGUCAUUGCUGUAGAAAUUAAUGACAUUCAUUAAAGAAAACGACUGUAGAAUCAAUGUUUCCAAAAUAAAGACAUACUUGCGCUCAGUAUUAACUGUUAGAAGGGCUAGCACCGGGGUGAGCUGCUGUGUUUUCUGGUUUUCUGCAGAGUUAUCAAGCUAAACUGCUUUUGCCAUCUGAUAGCUGGUCCUGGCAGCACAAUUAGUUGAAAGCCACAGAAGUCAUUGUGUAUAGCAUUUUAUUCUUCAGCUCAUCAAGAAAUAGAUUUGAAUUGGAAACUUUGAUCUGAUUUGUGCAAACUGGAAACGAGAUAAAUCAGACCUCAUAUACGAGUGUGCAUCAAUGCAAAGAUGAUGUCCUGUGUGCAAGAGGCAAGCAAGCUGAAUAUUAAUUAAUGAAACUACUUAAUAUGCAGAAGAAGAGGAGCAACAAUCAGUCACAAGCCCUUACAUAUUAACUGUGACAUUAUUGAACAGACUGUUGAAAACAAACAUCGUUAAAUGAGAAAAGAAGAGCAGAAGCCUGUCUAAUUCCCCACUGCAACAUUUUCCAAUGACGAAUGCUCCCUAAAUGGAUUUAGCUUUUUGAAAAGAAGUCAGAGAGAAAUUUGAUGUGGCCCUCUGACCCCUGAAUGGGAUACGAUACAGUUCUCCGCUGCUGAAGUGCUGUUGAAACCCACCGCCAGGAAGUCUGGGCAAAAGACUGUAUUGCCUGGUUUUCAUUAUAAGAGGAGAACCCCUGAAUUUCAUUGAAAAUUUCUUGCUAAGAGCCCUAAAGACAGAAGAAUACUGCAACCACAAAGGAGAAGUAAUAAAGGCUCUGGCCCUGAAAUUGCUACCACAUGGCCAGACUGCUGUGUUCACACCAAGCCCCGUGGACUUCAUCAUGGCUCCAGGCAGAGCAUCAUCAGUUUGCUUAUACACAGCCGACUGCAAGAUCUGAGCUCAAGUUCACUGACAUCAUGGAGAGGUUCCAUUAAAUAAAAUGCAUGUGAGAUUUUUUUUCUCCUAGAAUAUCUUAGAAAGAGGGAGAGCAGCUGCACAAUGAGAUUGUCAUAACAUCCACUGACCCAUUACUGAGGAUCACACCUGACCUUGGGCCACCACCCGCUGCUGGCCCCAGACAGACACAGUUCUUUCUUCUCCUUCCACCCAUUGGACCUCCUGCAGCUAGAAGUGAGAAAUUGGUGCCAGUGCACUGCUGUUUUAUUACAUGUAUUCAUGUGCCGUGGGGGACUAAGAUCAUCUGAACUCAUUUCACCUGUGAACUUUUGCAUCCAUUGCGUCAGGCUGGUUUGCACUCCCCUAAAUUCAGCUGGUCUGAGAUGCAAGUACUUGUGUGACUGGAAACACCCACCCAUGGAAGUGCAAUGGCCCUUAAAGUUUAACAGGAAAAAUAAGUUUGGCAUUUAUCUAUUCUAAGGAUACUCUGGAGAUCUGUGCUGGUUGAUUAGUACAACCUUCCUGAAACGUUGAUG